GUGGCCAUGGUGUAGUGGCAACACAGCGGGUUGUGGUCCCGUUAUCACCGGUUCGAAUCCGGUUGGCCACC
rnacentral:tRNA from 1 species